rnacentral:rRNA from 1 species
CGUGGGUAACCUACCUAUAAGACUGGGAUAACUUCGGGAAACCGGAGCUAAUACCGGAUAACAUUUGGAACCGCAUGGUUCUAAAGUGAAAGAUGGUUUUGCUAUCACUUAUAGAUGGACCCGCGCCGUAUUAGCUAGUUGGUAAGGUAACGGCUUACCAAGGCGACGAUACGUAGCCGACCUGAGAGGGUGAUCGGCCACACUGGAACUGAGACACGGUCCAGACUCCUACGGGAGGCAGCAGUAGGGAAUCUUCCGCAAUGGGCGAAAGCCUGACGGAGCAACGCCGCGUGAGUGAUGAAGGGUUUCGGCUCGUAAAACUCUGUUAUUAGGGAAGAACAAACGUGUAAGUAACUGUGCACGUCUUGACGGUACCUAAUCAGAAAGCCACGGCUAACUACGUGCCAGCAGCCGCGGUAAUACGUAGGUGGCAAGCGUUAUCCGGAAUUAUUGGGCGUAAAGCGCGCGUAGGCGGUUUCUUAAGUCUGAUGUGAAAGCCCACGGCUCAACCGUGGAGGGUCAUUGGAAACUGGGAAACUUGAGUGCAGAAGAGGAAAAGUGGAAUUCCAUGUGUAGCGGUGAAAUGCGCAGAGAUAUGGGAGGAACACCCAGUGGGCGAAAGGCGACUUUCUGGGUCUGUAACUGACGCUGAUGUGCGAAAGCGUGGGGAUCAAACAGGAUUAGAUACCCUGGUAGUUCCACGCCGUAAACGAUGAGUGCUAAGUGUUAGGGGGGUUUCCGCCCCUUAGUGCUGCAGCUAAACGCAUUAAGCACUCCGCCUGGGGAGUACGACCGCAAGGUUGAAACUCAAAGGAAUUGACGGGGACCCGCACAAGCGGUGGAGCAUGUGGUUUAAUUCGAAGCAACGCGAAGAACCUUACCAAAUCUUGACAUCCUUUGAAAACUCUAGAGAUAGAGCCUUCCCCUUCGGGGGACAAAGUGACAGGUGGUGCAUGGUUGUCGUCAGCUCGUGUCGUGAGAUGUUGGGUUAAGUCCCGCAACGAGCGCAACCCUUAAGCUUAGUUGCCAUCAUUAAGUUGGGCACUCUAGGUUGACUGCCGGUGACAAACCGGAGGAAGGUGGGGAUGACGUCAAAUCAUCAUGCCCCUUAUGAUUUGGGCUACACACGUGCUACAAUGGACAAUACAAAGGGCAGCUAAACCGCGAGGUCAUGCAAAUCCCAUAAAGUUGUUCUCAGUUCGGAUUGUAGUCUGCAACUCGACUACAUGAAGCUGGAAUCGCUAGUAAUCGUAGAUCAGCAUGCUACGGUGAAUACGUUCCCGGGUCUUGUACACACC